GGCGCACGGGUGAGUACAGCCGUGGAUAUUUCCCCUUACGGACGGGGUGACAACCUUCCGCAAAGGGGGGCUAAUACCGCAUAAGACCACAGUCGUGUUCGUCCGACCAGUGGGUUAAAGCUGGCGUCUGCUUGCAGAGCUAGCGCCUGAGGAUAAUGUCCGCUGGGUCCCAUCAGCUAGUUGGUAGUGUAAAAGACUACCAAGGCAAAGACGGGUAGCUGGUCUGAGAGGAUGAUCAGUCACACUGGAACUGAGACACGGUCCAGACUCAUACGGGAGGCAGCAGUGGGGAAUCUUGCGCAAUGGGCGAAAGCCUGACGCAGCGACGUCGCGUGGGUGAUGAAGGCCUUCGGGUUGUAAAGCCCUGUGGGGAGGGACGAAUAAGUCGUGGCUAAUAUUCACGAUGAUGACGGUACCUCCUUAGCAAGCACCGGUAACUCUGUGCCAGCCGCCGCGG
rnacentral:rRNA from 1 species